CUGUCGGCCAGGCUGGAGUGCAGUGGCGUGAUCUCGGCUCGCUGCAACCUCUGCCUCCUGGGUUCAAGCGAUUCUCCUGCCUCAGCCUCCCGAGUAGCUGGGAUUACAGGUGCCCGCCACCACGCCCAGCUAAUUUUUGUAUUUUUAGUAGAGACGUGGUUUCACCAUGUUGGCCAGGCUGCUCUCAAUCUCCUGACCUCGUGAUCCGCCCGCCUUGGCCUCCCAGAGCGCUGGGAUUACAGGUGUGAGCCACUGAGCCCAGCCGGCAUCACUUUAUUCGAAGCCUUAUCACCGGCCCAUAAUCACGCUUCUUUAAAUCGCGUGCAACGUGUUUUCAGCCCAGUCGGGUGGCCUUUUAACGGGGAGUGCAGCCCGCAUCCGAUUCCCGCUCUGCCGGUUCCUGCUCCUCCCCAUUCUUCCUCCUGUGGCUCUUUUGGGGUUGCCUGGCUUUGCAGCUGGCUCAGGCUUCUCUCCCGGUUUCCACCGAGGGCUCGCUCCUGCUCAGGGUCCCCGCGUGGUCCCGGUGCUCCGAUGCCACCAGGCGGCGCUGUUCCCUUGCAUCCUCAGCAUCAGAUUCCCAGUCCUGCAGGACAGGAAGCGGAACACCACCCUCCACCAGGGACUGGGAGCACCUUCUCCCCACCGCGCCGGAGCCCCCGGGGGCUUCCGGCCACUUACACCCCCAGGCCUGGGAGGUCAGCCGUGGGAUGCCUCUCUAUCGCAUGCUCCUGAUUCCACACCGAAACCUCACUUUCCGGUGGCUCUCACGUGGCCUUGAAUGUCUCACGGAGGAAUACUGUGAGAUGAGACAACCUAUGGUCCGAGCCCAGCACACGAUCUUCCGGGGGGAAGAGGCUCCAUCAGCCACAGUGUGCAUCAUUCCUGCGAUGGUUUCAGAACAACCCGGAGACAAGCUGCAGGAGCCCUGCUGUGCUGAGUGUGGGAGAGCAACAGGCAAGGGCACUGUUUUCCUAAAGCACCUGGGAGUGGGGUGGCCCUAACCCGAGAGGGGUGCUGCAGUGUGCCCACCUGCCCGUCCAUGCCCGCGGACGCCCACAACGUGCGCUGGGAUGAGCACAGAGGAGCUUGAGUCCCCCUGGAUGGCUGUCAUGGGCCUGUGGGCGUGAGACUGUCCAGACACCCUCCCUGGCACCCUCACGUGACUCCCAGGCCUUCAUGGUCCAGACAGAGCAUCCCCAGACUCCACCAAUCUGCAGCAUAAAGGAGGCAUGACAGCUUGAACUUUAGGAAAAAAGGAAUGAUAAAAAAGCUGGUCCGGGAUUCUGCUUGAAAUACUGUGCCCUCGCCCGCCUGUCGGUGUGCCUAAAGACAACUGGGUGAUGUUGGGAAGAGCAGAUAAAAGGCUGGCAUCCACACAGGGCCCUGUGUGAGCACCCAUCCUGUGCAGGGCCCUGAGCGAGCACCGGUGUGCAAAGCUGGCCGCCAGUGGGGCCACUCUGGCAGCAGGGUUUGCACUCAGCUGACCCGUGGUCUCAUCCUGCACUGAGCUUGGACCGAGGCAGAUGCUACAGCACAGUCAGCUCAAGGGUCAAGGUGAUCUCAGCCCAGCACCCCUGCUCCACUCCCUGGGUACCCAUCACAAGGCUCUGACGGUGCCCAGCUGUCACUGAGCGUGGCCUGGCCCUGAGCUGGCGAGCCUGGGUGAACCUGGAACUUUGUUUAUUCACUCAGCAGACAUGAGCGAGUGGAAGAACUAACUUUGACUUGACCCUGGGGCCUCUGCUGGCCUCAGGGAGCUGCAAGGUGAGGUGUCCAUCCCUGCACCUGCUCCUCCAAAGCCACCAAGCGCCCACACGAGUGACUGGACCAUCACACAGGGACUGGACAGGCGAUCCUUCCUGGCUUCCUGUGGCUUCCAGUCUUCCUUGUUCACAGAUGAGGGCACUAAGACUCCAGGAUGAACCACUGCCCGUGCCUCAGUUUCCUCAUGUGUAGAUUGGGAUAAUGAUCACGUCUACCUCAUAGGGCUGUUGGAGGAUCCAUCAAGAUUAAUACAACAGCAGGGUGAGGUGCCCAGUGAAUGCUCAAUACACAGAGGCUUGAGGCAUAUGGUGGGCAGGAGCAGGACUAUCCCCUGUGACCCCCCAACAAGCCGUGCAGCCCCAUCGGGGUUUCCCAAGGGGCAGGAAGAGUGUCUGCUGGCUGGGUCACCCCCACUUCCACUGGCCGCCAUGUGCAAGGCACAGAGAGGGGUGGGUUUGUUUGCCAGGGCUGCCCUAGCAAAGCGCCCACCACGCUUAGGUUAAAUCAACAACAGCCGGGUACAGUGGCCCUCACCUGUAAUCCCAGCACUUUGGGAGGCCGAGGCAGGUGGAUCACGAGGUCAGGAGUUCAAGACCAGCCUGGCCAACAUGGUGAAACCCCGUCUCUACUAAAAAUACAAAAAUUAGCCGGGCAUGGUGGCACACACCUGUAGUCCCAGCUACUCGGGAGCCUGAGGUGGGAGAAUCACUUGAACCUGGGAGGUGGAGGUUGCAGUGAGCCAAGAUCACACCACUGCACUCCAGCCUGGGUGACAGAGAGAGACUGUGUCUUGAAAAAAAAAAAGCAACAACAGUUCAGAGCCCUGGAGGCUGGAAGUCUGCAGGUCUGCAGGGCCGCACUCCCUCUCAAGGCUCUAAGGGAAGAACUCUCCCGCCCCUCCCGGCUCCUGGUGGUCCCAGGUGCUCCUUGGCUCGUGGCCACAGCACUCCAGUCCCUGCCUCUGUUGUCAUGUGUGAACUUUGUUCCUGUGUCUGUCUCUGCCCAAAUCUCCCUCUUCUUCUAGGGAUACCAGUUAUUGGCUUAGGGCCUGCCCUAAUCCCGUGUGGCCUCAUCUGAAUCAGAUUUCAUCCACAAAGGCCUUGUUUCCAAGUAAGCUCCCAUUCACAGGUGCCAGGGAUUACAUCAUCAGUAUAUCUUUUCUGGAAAACACAAUUCUUCCCCCAACAAUCAGCAAGCCCCAGUGGGUGCUGCUGUGGCCACAAGAGAGUCAGGAUGGUCUGGGAGGAGCCCUCAGGGGCUGCAACUGCCCCAAGACCACACAGCUAGUCCCAUGAUGUGGCUGGGCCUUUGCCAGCUGGCUUGGCCUCCGUAGGCCUCUGGUUUUGCCCCUUACCACACGGGGGUGGGCCUGCUGACCCAAAGCCCACCCUCUGCCUCUCCCAGGCCCCACCUGCCCUGGCAGCCACAGAGCAAAGCCAGGACGACUGUGGCUGGUUAGACUAUUCACCAUUGCUUCCCCACCCCAACCACCGUGGGACACAGACAUCCCCGGAUCCCCCUGCAGACUUGCAAACGCACAGUGGGGUGAAAGCCUAUGCCCCUAGAAGGCUCUCAAGCCAUGGUCUCCAGUACAGCAGCCACGAGCCACACGUGGCCACUGAGCCCUUCACAUGUGGCAAGAUCAAACCAAUGUGUGAGAUGUGUGAAAUGCACACCAAAUUUCAGACUUAGUACUAAAAGCAGUGUGUUUCAUUAAUAAUUUUUAUAUGAAUGUCAAAAUGCUGGAAUAUUUUGGACAUAUUGGGUUAAAUAGAAUCUGUUAUAGGCCAGGCGCGGUGGCUCACACCUGUAAUCCCAGCACUUUGGGAGGCCAAGGCGGGUGGAUCAUGAGGUCAGGAGAUCGAGACCAUCCUGGCCAACACAGUGAAACCCCGUCUCUACUAAAACUACAAAAAAUUAGUUGGGCGUGGUGGCAGGUGCCUGUAGUCCCAGCUACUCGGGAGGCUGAGCCAGGAGAAUGGCAUGAACCCAGGAGGUGGAGCUUGCAGUGAGCUGAGAUCGCGCAACUGCACUCCAGCCUGGGCGACAGAGCGAGACUCCAUCUCAAAAAAAAAAAAAAAAAAGAAUUUGUUAUUAAAAUCAGUUUCACCUGUUUCUGUUACCUCAUUAGUGUGGCUACUAGAAAAUAUAAAAUUCUGUGCGUGGA